GCAKSCGAYYAAGAGCWUGCUCUUAUGAAGUUAGCGGCGGACGGGUGAGUAACACGUGGGUAACCUGCCCAUAAGACUGGGAUAACUCCGGGAAACCGGGGCUAAUACCGGAUAAYAUUUUGAACYGCAUGGUUCGAAAUUGAAAGGCGGCUUCGGCUGUCACUUAUGGAUGGACCCGCGUCGCAUUAGCUAGUUGGUGAGGUAACGGCUCACCAAGGCAACGAUGCGUAGCCGACCUGAGAGGGUGAUCGGCCACACUGGGACUGAGACACGGCCCAGACUCCUACGGGAGGCAGCAGUAGGGAAUCUUCCGCAAUGGACGAAAGUCUGACGGAGCAACGCCGCGUGAGUGAUGAAGGCUUUCGGGUCGUAAAACUCUGUUGUUAGGGAAGAACAAGUGCUAGUUGAAUAAGCUGGCACCUUGACGGUACCUAACCAGAAAGCCACGGCUAACUACGUGCCAGCAGCCGCAAA
rnacentral:rRNA from 1 species